rnacentral:tRNA from 1 species
GCACUGGUGGUUCAGUGGUAGAAUUCUCACCUUCCAUGCAGGAGACCAGGGUUCAACUCCUGACCAAUGUA